rnacentral:ncRNA from 1 species
AACUCUGGAGAGUCCCUUUUUGGGCGCCGAAGGUGUACGGCGGGGAAUCCCGCCAAUCUCUCAGGCAAAAGGACAGAGC